UUAGCGGCGGACGGGUGAGUAACACGUGGAUAACCUACCUAUAAGACUGGGAUAACUUCGGGAAACCGGAGCUAAUACCGGAUAAUAUUUUGAACCGCAUGGUUCAAAAGUGAAAGACGGUCUUGCUGUCACUUAUAGAUGGAUCCGCGCUGCAUUAGCUAGUUGGUAAGGUAACGGCUUACCAAGGCAACGAUGCAUAGCCGACCUGAGAGGGUGAUCGGCCACACUGGAACUGAGACACGGUCCAGACUCCUACGGGAGGCAGCAGUAGGGAAUCUUCCGCAAUGGGCGAAAGCCUGACGGAGCAACGC
rnacentral:rRNA from 1 species